rnacentral:rRNA from 1 species
AGAGUUUGAUCAUGGCUCAGGAUGAACGCUGGCGGCGUGCUUAACACAUGCAAGUCGAACGGACGUAAGGGGCUUGCUCCUUACGUUAGUGGCGGACGGGUGAGUAACACGUGAGCAAUCUGCCCAUAGCAGGGGGAUAACAGUUAGAAAUGACUGCUAAUACCGCAUAAGACCACAGAGAGGCAUCUUUCAGGGGUCAAAGAUUUUAUCGGCUAUGGAUGAGCUCGCGUCCCAUUAGGCAGUUGGCGGGGUAACGGCCCACCAAACCUACGAUGGGUAGCCGACCUUAGAGGGUGAUCGGCCACAUUGGAACUGAGACACGGUCCAAACUCCUACGGGAGGCAGCAGUGGGGAAUAUUGGGCAAUGGAGGCAACUCUGACCCAGCAACGCCGCGUGAGUGAUGAAGGUCCUCGGAUUGUAAAGCUCUUUAAGUUGGGACGAAGAAAGUGACGGUACCAACAGAAUAAGCCUCGGCUAACUACGUGCCAGCAGCCGCGGUAAUACGUAGGAGGCAAGCGUUAUCCGGAAUGACUGGGCGUAAAGGGUGCGUAGGUGGCUUGGCAAGUUGGUAGCGUAAUUCCGGGGCUUAACUUCGGAGCUACUACCAAAACUGUUUGGCUUGAGUGCAGGAGGGGUAAACGGAAUUCCUAGUGUAGCGGUGGAAUGCGUAGAUAUUAGGAGGAACACCAGCGGCGAAGGCGGUUUACUGGACUGUAACUGACACUGAGGCACGAAAGCGUGGGGAGCAAACAGGAUUAGAUACCCUGGUAGUCCACGCUGUAAACGACGAAUACUAGUG